rnacentral:rRNA from 1 species
GAUGAACGCUGGCGGCGUGCCUAAUACAUGCAAGUCGAGCGAACGGACGAGAAGCUUGCUUCUCUGAUGUUAGCGGCGGACGGGUGAGUAACACGUGGAUAACCUACCUAUAAGACUGGGAUAACUUCGGGAAACCGUAGCUAAUACCGGAUAAUAUUUUGAACCGCAUGGUUCAAAAGUGAAAGACGGUCUUGCUGUCACUUAUAGAUGGAUCCGCGCUGCAUUAGCUAGUUGGUAAGGUAACGGCUUACCAAGGCAACGAUGCAUAGCCGACCUGAGAGGGUGAUCGGCCACACUGGAACUGAGACACGGUCCAGACUCCUACGGGAGGCAGCAGUAGGGAAUCUUCCGCAAUGGGCGAAAGCCUGACGGAGCAACGCCGCGUGAGUGAUGAAGGUCUUCGGAUCGUAAAACUCUGUUAUUAGGGAAGAACAUAUGUGUAAGUAACUGUGCACAUCUUGACGGUUCCUAAUCAGAAAGUCACGGCUAACUACGUG